GGAAUCUUGCACAAUGGAGGAAACUCUGAUGCAGCGAUGCCGCGUGAGUGAAGAAGGCCUUUGGGUUGUAAAGCUCUUUUGUAGGGGAAGAUAAUGACUGUACCCUAAGAAUAAGGUCCGGCUAACUUCGUGCCAGCAGCCGCGGUAAUACGAAGGGACCUAGCGUAGUUCGGAAUUACUGGGCGUAAAGCGCGCGUAGGCCGUUGAGUUAGUUAAUUGUGAAAUCCCAAAGCUUAACUUUGGAACUGCAAUUAAAACCGCUCGACUAGAGUUUGAUAGAGGAAAGCGGAAUACAUAGUGUAGAGGUGAAAUUCGUAGAUAUUAUGUAGAACACCAGUUGCGAAGGCGGCUUUCUGGAUCAACACUGACGCUGAGGCGCGAAAGUAUGGGUAGCAAAGAGGAUUAGAUACCCUCGUAGUCCAUACCAUAAACGAUGAUUGCUAGAUGUUGGAAAUUUAUUUUCAGUAUCGCAGCUAACGCAUUAAGCAAUCCGCCUGGGGAGUACGACCGCAAGGUUAAAACUCAAAUGAAUUGACGG
rnacentral:rRNA from 1 species